CCUACGGGAGGCUGCAGUGGGGAAUAUUGCACAAUGGGCACAAGCCUGAUGCAGCCAUGCCGCGUGUGUGAAGAAGGCCUUCGGGUUGUAAAGCACUUUCAGCGGGGAGGAAGGCGUUAAGGUUAAUAACCUUGGCGAUUGACGUUACCCGCAGAAGAAGCACCGGCUAACUCCGUGCCAGCAGCCGCGGUAAUACGGAGGGUGCAAGCGUUAAUCGGAAUUACUGGGCGUAAAGCGCACGCAGGCGGUCUGUCAAGUCGGAUGUGAAAUCCCCGGGCUCAACCUGGGAACUGCAUUCGAAACUGGCAGGCUAGAGUCUUGUAGAGGGGGGUAGAAUUCCAGGUGUAGCGGUGAAAUGCGUAGAGAUCUGGAGGAAUACCGGUGGCGAAGGCGGCCCCCUGGACAAAGACUGACGCUCAGGUGCGAAAGCGUGGGGAGCAAACAGGAUUAGAUACCCGGGUAGUC
rnacentral:rRNA from 1 species